UGUUUUGGACAUUUUUUAUCAAAUGUAUUUGACAGGGACAAUGCACUGUAUUUCUGUAAAUGUGCCAGAUUUAGCCAGCUGGCUUUGUGAUGUAACAAAGGUAGCUGAUGAUGUAAUGAAAACAGACAGUUAAAUAGGUGUGUGUAGAACUGUUGCACAUUUUCUCUGGAAAUGAGGACCGCACCUACUGGUCAAAAGAAGUGAAUUACAUCUCCAAUUGAAGUCAAUAAUAAGCUUGAGAGAUCAUCCCGGGCUUUGUCCCCUCUGCUGUAGCUGAGAUGUCCCUGGAGGACAUAGAACAACAAGACUAUGAUGUUUCUGACACUGAGACAGUCAGAGCCUUGUCCCAGUCUCUAGACCUGCCUGUCUGUGUGGUGGAUGACCACCUGCCCUCUGAAGCCGUCAAUGAGAUGGUAAGUUGACCAUUUCAUAUUGCAACAUUAAUCCAAUUAAAUGUAAACCGUUGACGUACCACAAUCAUCUCUGUUGUGUUGCAGUUGUUUAAAUUUGUCCAACGUUGCCAAUGCUCCUCCACUCUCUAACGGUUCAUAAUUCUUU
rnacentral:lncRNA from 8 species